rnacentral:misc_RNA from 1 species
GAUGAAGAACGCAGCGAAAUGCGAUAAGUAAUGUGAAUUGCAGAAUUCAGUGAAUCAUCGAAUCUUUGAACGCACAUUGCGCCCGCCAGCAUUCUGGCGGGCAUGCCUGUUCGAGCGCCAUUUCAACCCUCGACUUCCCUUUGGGGAAAUCGGCGUUGGGGACUGGCAGCAUACCGCCGGCCCCGAAAUGGAGUGGCGGCCCGUCCGCGGCGACCUCUGCGUAGUAAUCCAACCUCGCACCGGAACCCCGACGUGGCCACGCCGUAAAACACCCCACUUUCUGAACGUUGACCUCGGAUCAGGUAGGAAUACCCGCUGAACUUAAGCAUAUCAAUAAGCGGAGGA